UGGUGAUCAGCAUGUGCAGAGGCAAGCAGUGACUGGUAGCAUUAAGGAAAUGGACUUCGAGGUUCAACACACUCUCGCCAAACUCCCACCAAAAUCUGCUGCUCACAGCCACAUCUACCUAUCAGCGCACACACAGAGCUUGAGGAGAUAAAUGAAAUGAGGGCUGGCAUGUUCCCUGGACAUUUUAAUUAGCUAGUCUUUAAUUCAGCCUGACCCCCUUUCAACUUUGAUCAGCCAGUGGGAGCUCUGAUAAGGACCUGUCACUCACAUGCAAACACCGGGGUUAUCCAACAGCAAAUUGUCUCUCCGCCAUUCAUAGAUGCUCUCUACCUGCGGUGUCAUGGGAGAGCUGUUCACGGCUCAGUGAAAGCUAAAAGCCCAGUGAGAGCGGAAAUAUGGCGCGUGAGCUGUGCUCAUUCAUCCCGACUCUCCAUUCGCUACAGCGCGGACUGUGACAGGCUUGAAUACAAAUGCACAGCUUGAUUAUUAAGAGUCGUGAGACUUCUGGGGGCAAAAUUAAUGUGUAAUAGAAUUAGCUUGCAGUUCCAAAGGUGAGAAUUGCUUUUAAUAUGGUCUUGAAAUGACACAAACCUUUGAAAGAAAUGGCUUCAUAAGAGAGGCCAAAGGAAAAGCAACAAUGAAGUGAAGAAAUAAAGCUUU